rnacentral:rRNA from 1 species
UACGGAGGGUGCAAGCAUUGAUCGGACUUACUGGGCGUAAAGGGCGCGUAGGCGGAACAAUAAGUCGGAUGUGAAAUUCCGGGGCUCAACCCCAGAGCUGCAUUUGAAACUAUUGAGCUAGAGUUCAGUUAGGGUAAACGGAAUUCCACGUGUAGCGGUGAAAUGCGUAGAUAUGUGGAGGAAUACCGAUGGCGAAGGCAGCCCCCUGGGUCGAUACUGACGCUCAUGCACGAAAGCGUGGGGAGCAAACAGG